ensembl:rRNA 5S_rRNA 5S ribosomal RNA
GCUUAAGGCCAUACCAGCUGAAGAACGCCCGAUCUCGUCUGAUCUCGGAAGCUAAGAAGGCUUGGGCCUGUUAGUACUUGAUGGGAGACUGCCUGGGAAUACCAGGUGCUGUAAGCU